GACGAACGCUGGCGGCGUGCUUAACACAUGCAAGUCGAACGGAAAGGCCCUGCUUUUGUUGGUUGCUCGAGUGGCGAACGGGUGAGUAACACGUGAGUAACCUGCCCUUGACUUUGGGAUAACUUCAGGAAACUGGGGCUAAUACCGGAUAUGAGCUCCUGCUGCAUGGUGGUGGUUGGAAAGUUUCGGCGGUUGGGGAUGGACUCGCGGCUUAUCCGCUUGUUGGUGUGGUAGUGGCUUACCAAGGCUUUGACGGGUAGCCGGCCUGAGAGGGUGACCGGCCACAUUGGGACUGAGAUACGGACCAGACUCCUACGGGAGGCAGCAGGGGGGAAUAUUGCACAAUGGGCGGAAGCCUGAUGCAGCAACGCCGCGUGCGGGAUGACGGCCUUCGGGUGGUAAACCGCUUUCGACGGUGACGAAGCGUGAGUGACGGUAAUGGGUAAAGAAGCAACGGCUAACUACGUG
rnacentral:rRNA from 1 species